rnacentral:rRNA from 1 species
UACGUAGGGGGCGAGCGUUGUCCGGAUUUAUUGGGCGUAAAGAGCUCGUAGGCGGUUGGGUAAGUCGGGUGUGAAAACUCAGGGCUCAACUCUGAGACGCCACUCGAUACUGCCCUGACUUGAGUCCGGUAGGGGAGCGUGGAAUUCCCGGUGUAGCGGUGAAAUGCGCAGAUAUCGGGAGGAACACCAGUGGCGAAGGCGGCGCUCUGGGCCGGAACUGACGCUGAGGAGCGAAAGCGUGGGUAGCAAACAGG